rnacentral:rRNA from 1 species
CUUUUAGAUCCCGACUAGAGUAUCGGACAGUACGUACUUGCACCUUCACCUCAUCAAUUGCUACUCUACACAUAUCAGCAUCACAAGUUAUUUGCCAAGAAAGAGAGAUUAUCAUCGUGUUCCCAAACAUACAUCAUGUUACACGUAAAGCUAAUGGUGAUAGCUCUGCUUGCGAACCUCUCCCCGCCACGCGUACACCACCACCCGCAGCACAAAGACUUUUUGGGGUGCUGUUUUGCUGACGGGGACGUCCACUGGGAGCUAGCUCAUCAGCUGUGAUACCUGAAGCAGACAGCGACAUGGUCUAGGUGAAUGAAUAAUUUAGCCACCAAAGUCCACAAGCCCACAGACUCCACUCCACGCACGAACUUCCAAUCCAUCCGUCUCCUCCAGGCCACAGCCGCAACACGCUACUAGCAGUUACGCGCCCCUAUCCCCCCACCUCUUCCUUCCACUUUCCCCACCUCGCAGGCCAAGCAAACGCCAGGCGACGCAAGGCAAGGAAGCGGCCCAGCGGGCGAGGCAGCCAUGUCGUACUACGACCGGCGUGGGGAGUCGUCGGUGCUGGAGGCGUUCACGCUGUCGCCGCUGCCUUACCCGGUGAUCCUGAUCCUGAUGAUGGUGACGCUGCUGCUGGGGGCGUCGUGGUUCUUCUCCUACGAGGAGUUCAUGGAGGAGGCGUCGGAGCAGUUCAGCUGGUUCCUGCUGGGCGUGCCCAUCGCGCUCGUGCUCCUCAUCCGCUGGAUCUCCUCCGUCGACACCUUCGAGGGUUACUUCGGGUUCUACCCCACCGAGAGCCGCUGGCGGGGCUACCCGGCCGCGCCCUCCGAGGGCAGCUCCCCCUGGGGCGUCGCCAUGGUCGUCGUCCUCCUCCUCGUCCUCGCCAGUUUCCACUCCACCUUCCAGGACAUGUGGAAGGCUUGAUGGAAUGAUCGGUGCUCCGAUCCAUACCUCGUAUGUACGUGUAUGUGUGUAUGUAUGUAUGUGAUUCCAUCGUAUCGAUCUGUGGUACACCUAUGAAUGAUUGUUGCUUCCAGGCGGUUGCUGCACCUGCACGUAUGUGUGCCUUGCUUUUCCUCCUGUAUAUAGACGAAGGUUAUAUUCUGCUAGCUGAAAAACUAUAGAGCUUGAGUGUCACUCCUCUGUACUGGUCCUUGUUCUGUGUUUUACUGAAUCAACAGGUUUCUGUGGGAAAAUUUACUCUAUUCUGUCGAAAUAUUUGCCAUGUCCUCUGUCGAAAUAUUUGCCAUGUCCUUCGUUCUUCAUCAACAUACAUGUUAAAGACUGGGUUGCAGUUGGUGGGAGCAAUCAUAGAUAGAAGCUGCACAAAGGAAGAUACGAUCAGUGGGACACAGCGGGUAGAUGAAACGCGGUAGUAGGAGCAUAGACUGGAGAGUUCUGGACGCGGGCAAUCAUGACACUUUGUUCGUUCUCGUAUUAUCCCUUUGCGAGCGUAUCUCGGCCCAUAGCCAGAAUCUUGUCC